rnacentral:rRNA from 2 species
GAACGCUGGCGGCGUGCCUAAUACAUGCAAGUCGAGCGAACAGAUAAGGAGCUUGCUCCUUUGACGUUAGCGGCGGACGGGUGAGUAACACGUGGAUAACCUACCUAUAAGACUGGGAUAACUUCGGGAAACCGGAGCUAAUACCGGAUAACAUAUUGAACCGCAUGGUUCAAUAGUGAAAGGCGGCUUUGCUGUCACUUAUAGAUGGAUCCGCGCCGUAUUAGCUAGUUGGUAAGGUAACGGCUUACCAAGGCAACGAUACGUAGCCGACCUGAGAGGGUGAUCGGCCACACUGGAACUGAGACACGGUCCAGACUCCUACGGGAGGCAGCAGUAGGGAAUCUUCCGCAAUGGGCGAAAGCCUGACGGAGCAACGCCGCGUGAGUGAUGAAGGUCUUCGGAUCGUAAAACUCUGUUAUCAGGGAAGAACAAAUGUGUAAGUAACUGUGCACAUCUUGACGGUACCUGAUCAGAAAGCCACGGCUAACUACGUGCCAGCAGCCGCGGUAAUACGUAGGUGGCAAGCGUUAUCCGGAAUUAUUGGGCGUAAAGCGCGCGUAGGCGGUUUUUUAAGUCUGAUGUGAAAGCCCACGGCUCAACCGUGGAGGGUCAUUGGAAACUGAAAAACUUGAGUGCAGAAGAGGAAAGUGGAAUUCCAUGUGUAGCGGUGAAAUGCGCAGAGAUAUGGAGGAACACCAGUGGCGAAGGCGACUUUCUGGUCUGUAACUGACGCUGAUGUGCGAAAGCGUGGGGAUCAAACAGGAUUAGAUACCCUGGUAGUCCACGCCGUAAACGAUGAGUGCUAAGUGUUAGGGGGUUUCCGCCCCUUAGUGCUGCAGCUAACG